CUUAUCCAGAAAAUGAGCUGAAGAUGCGAGAGAAGCCAUUAACGGUCAGAGACUUAUUUAACGAAGGCCUCGUCAAUUGAGGAUGUUACUCUAAGUAUGAAAAUGCCCUUGGGCUGGAAGAGGGUCAAGUCAGAUUAGAGCCAAAACAUGUUGCAAUAUAGAUUUAAGCAGGGAACUGGGUCGACAGGUCAAAUAUAUCUCAGCCAAGCUUCACUUCAUCAGGCCUACAGUUCUGGAAGCCAUUAACCUACCGGUGAGGCAGUAUGUCCAGUUUUCAUAUGACGUGGGUGUACAUACAUAAAACAUGUUUUUGGCAACAUAGAAAAGCAAUCUGCAGCAGUGUCUGGUUCACCCAGUGUAAUUAGGGCACUUUACUGCACUUGUAUUGCAAAAAAAAAAAAAAAAUCAUCUGGAGAGAAUGAAGCUGCUUUUUCUAACCAUAAACAGUUACAUUCCAUUAAUGCACAAGUCAUCUGUUAUGCCAAGAUGAGACUAACAAAUGUCAUGGCUCAACGGACUAGGUCAACCUGUGAUGGAUUUAUUUUGACGCAAAGUAGCUGUGAUAGACAUGAUGGUACUCUACUUGGUGGCUGGAUUUUUGGCAAGGUAACUAACUGGCUGAACCUCCCAUUUUUACAAAUAGCCUGUACUAUUCAUUGUAACUGCAAUCGCUUCAUUACAUGUGCCAGGCAAUAGCAGCUGCCCAUUUAGAUGCUGUUACCUUUAGCAAU